UCUCAUUCUCAUUACUCAACAUGCACCCCACCACCAUUUCCUCCACCUUGAACCACCAUCACUACAUUAACCACAUCUUUUUAUCCAUCUUCUAAUUAUUUUUUUCUUACAAUUUGUUUCACUAUUUUCUACAACUAACACUGCAAAUCAUCAAAUAAUUAUUAAAAUUGUUACUCAUAUUGCUGGAAAAAUCAAAUUGUCCUUAAUCUCA
rnacentral:lncRNA from 1 species